rnacentral:rRNA from 1 species
ACAUGCCUACAACAUAGUGUUGAUGCAUAGGAUCCCAUUAGAAAUUUGUAGUUAAGUUUUCUCGGGCUAGAGUAUUACUAGGAUGGCUGACCACCCAAGAAGUCCUAGUAUUUUACAUGCC